rnacentral:rRNA from 1 species
ACGGGUGAGUAACACGUGGAUAACCUACCUAUAAGACUGGGAUAACUUCGGGAAACCGGAGCUAAUACCAGAUAACAUGUUGAACCGCAUGGUUCAACAGUGAAAGACGGUCUUGCUGUCACUUAUAGAUGGAUCCGCGCCGCAUUAGCUAGUUGGUAAGGUAACGGCUUACCAAGGCAACGAUGCGUAGCCGACCUGAGAGGGUGAUCGGCCACACUGGAACUGAGACACGGUCCAGACUCCUACGGGAGGCAGCAGUAGGGAAUCUUCCGCAAUGGGCGAAAGCCUGACGGAGCAACGCCGCGUGAGUGAUGAAGGUCUUCGGAUCGUAAAACUCUGUUAUUAGGGAAGAACAAAUGUGUAAGUAACUAUGCACGUCUUGACGGCACCUAAUCAGAAAGCCACGGCUAACUACGUGCCAGCAGCCGCGGUAAUACGUAGGUGGCAAGCGUUAUCCGGAAUUAUUGGGCGUAAAGCGCGCGUAGGCGGUUUUUUAAGUCUGAUGUGAAAGCCCACGGCUCAACCGUGGAGGGUCAUUGGAAACUGGAAAACUUGAGUGCAGAAGAGGAAAGUGGAAUU